UGUUCCAUAAAUGUUAAACAAUAUAAUUUACAAUAGUUGUACAGACGCAAUUAGACAAUACAAUAUAUACAAAAGUUCUACAAUAUCACGAAUAUAUACAAAUGAACUAUAAACUAGUAAAAGUAUCAUCAUCGGGCGGAGGUAAACGACGGCGCUGCUCUGGUGUAUGGAAAUCAGCCUCGUGCUCCUGCUCAUCAUCGCCAGCCUGCUCGUCAUCGCCACCCUGUUGAUAGAAUCAAAAAUAUAAAUCAUUAGUCCGUAUAUAUAUAUAUAUAUAUAUAUAUAUAUAUGUGUGUGUGUGUGUGUGUGUGUGUGUGUGUGUGUGUGUGUGUGAGAGAGAGAGAGAGAGAGAGAGAAUUAACAAACUAGCCAUAAUUGAAAAACAUAAACAAUAAGAAUACCUGAGUAGGUGGGGACGGACGAAAAGCCUCCUCUAAGAGGGUAAUCACCAUCCGGAGCAUCUCGGCGCUCCAAGCGUCGAACUGCUCCCGAGGUAAUCAUGUACUCUCUGCAGAGGCCCCUGCUAUAAUAUCCUGAGCAAUCUGGUGAAGACGAGAACUGGAAGGCAACUGCUGACGCCGAAAGACCGGAUCGGUAUGGAACCUAUCCGACACGACCCCUAUCAGCCGCCGGAAGAUAUCGUCAUCCAAACCAGCGCCCGUAUGAGAUGGUCCGACAUGUGCUCUCGGACG
rnacentral:lncRNA from 1 species